GGGUGAUUAGGUAAGUGGUAUACCGGCGGUCUCCAAAACCGCAUUCGGGGGUCCGAUUCCUCCAUCACCCGCCU
rnacentral:tRNA from 3 species